rnacentral:rRNA from 1 species
GGUUUGAUCUUGGCUCAGGACGAACGCUGGCGGCGUGCUUAACACAUGCAAGUCGAACGGUAAGGCUCCAGCUUGCUGGGGUACACGAGUGGCGAACGGGUGAGUAACACGUGGGUGACCUGCCCUGCACUUCGGGAUAAGCCUGGGAAACUGGGUCUAAUACCGGAUAGGACCGCACCGUGAGGGUGUGGUGGAAAGUUUUUUUCGGUGUGGGAUGGGCCCGCGGCCUAUCAGCUUGUUGGUGGGUAAUGGCCUACCAAGGCGGCGACGGGCAGCCGGCCUGAGAGGGUGGACGGCCACAUUGGGACUGAGACACGGCCCAGACUCCUACGGGAGGCAGCAGUGGGGAAUAUUGCACAAUGGGCGGAAGCCUGAUGCAGCGACGCCGCGUGGGGGAUGACGGCCUCGGUUGUAACGUACCUUCUACCACUACGACGAAGGUUACG